rnacentral:rRNA from 1 species
AUGAGCUACUACGGUGGCUAUGGGGAUAGUAUUAUUGGCCAUCCCCAGGUUAUCUGGUCUGCGAACCGCAACUUCCCCGUAGGCAGGGAUGACAUCCUUUCUUUCACUGGGGCUGGUCAGUUAAUUCUUCAAAACAAUGUUGGCACCUUUGUCUGGUCCACACCGACAAAGGACGCCUCCGUAGUUGGUAUGCGCCUCGAUGGUUCUGGAAACCUCGUGCUUUUUGAUCAAAACAAUGUCUCUGUCUGGGAGUCCUUUGACUACCCAACAGAUACAUUGGUGAUCGGGCAGUUGCUAUGCGCGGGAGCUAAUCUCACUGCCAAUGAUUCAUUCACCAGUUGGGCAUCAGGUCAGAUCAAUCUUCAUACCUCAUCAAAUGGAUUGCAGUUUUAUUUUGGCUCUGCCGCGUACACACAAGUAUUCCAACCAACUUCUCUAGGCAAUGGGACAUCAGAUUGUUAUGCAUUUACCAAUGGCAGCUUUGGAUUUCCCAAACUGGUCUUCUCAUUGCCCCUUGCAAGGUCAUUUCAGUUCAUGCGGUUAGAGUUUGAUGGUCAUUUUCGUCUAUAUGAAAUGAAGGAGGCUGCCUUCCACGUGGUGUUCGAUGUGCUAAGCAAUGAAAUCAAGUUUUGUGAUUAUCCUCUAGCCUGUGGUGAAUACAGUGUUUGUAUAAAUGGGCAGUGUUGCUGUCCCAGCUCUCACUAUUUUAGACUCCAAGAUGAAUGGCGUCCAGAUAUGGGGUGUCUACCAUGGACUAAUCUGUCUUCUUGCAAUGACAUGCGCUAUCAUCAACUUGUACCUAUUAGCAACAUUUCUUACUUCAGUGAUGAUGCCUUCCAAUCAUUGGCUACUUCUGCUACAGAUGCGGACUGCAAGCAAUCUUGCUUAGAAGAGUGCUCUUGCAAAGUUGCAUUAUUUCAAUACGAUGACCAUGAUGGAAUUACUGGCUCUUGUUUGCAUUUAUCACAGGCCUCACUACUUUCUCAAACUACAAAUUCUUCUCAUCGUACUUCAGUAUUUUUCAAAAUACAGGGCACCAUGAAAAGAAGGACCAACAUUGCCAUUGGUUCUGCAGUUGGUAGUUUUGCUUUAUUUGCAACUGCCAUCUCCAUUUUCACUUGGAGAAAAUGUAAGAAAACGGAGGAGGAAGAAUGCUUCCUUGGAGGAAUACCUGGAGUACCAGCACGCUUCUCCUAUAACGAGCUGAAGAUAGCCACAAGGAACUUCUCGAUGAGGCUUGGAUCUGGAGGGUUUGGCUCUGUCUUCAAAGGUAAAAUAGGCAAGGAAACGAUAGCUGUCAAGCGCUUAGAAGGGGUCGAUCAAGGAAAGCAGGAGUUCUUAGCAGAAGUUGAGACCAUAGGAAGAAUUCAUCACAUUAAUCUUGUCAGGUUAAUUGGAUUUUGUGCUGAAAAAUCGAGCAGGCUACUUGUGUACGAGUAUAUGAGCAAUAGUUCAUUGGAUAAAUGGAUAUUCCAUGCACAUCCAGUUUUUACACUCUCAUGGAAGACAAGGUGUAAUAUCAUCAUGGGUAUUGCCAAGGGUCUGUCUUAUCUCCAUGAAGAAUGUGAACAAAGGAUUGCUCACCUAGACAUCAAGCCACAGAACAUUCUUCUGGAUGACAGGUUUAAUGCGAAGGUCUCGGAUUUUGGAUUAUCGAAAUUGAUAAGUAGGGACGAUAGCAAGAUCAUGACUCGGAUGCGAGGCACACGUGGAUAUCUUGCACCUGAGUGGCUAGGUUCGAAGAUCACCGAGAAGGUAGACAUCUACAGCUUUGGAAUUGUCAUAGUUGAAAUUAUAUGUGGGCGAAGGAACCUGGACGAAUCACAACCUGAAGAGCGAGUUCACCUAAUCAGUCUUCUGCAAGAAAAGGCUAGAUGUGGAAAGUUAUUCGAUUUGGUGGAUACGAGCAGCAACGACAUGCAAUUUCACAUGGAGGAGGUUAGAGAAAUGAUGGAGCUCGCAAUGUGGUGCUUACAGGUUGAUAGCAGCAAGAGGCCUCUGAUGUCAACAGUUGCCAAGGUGUUGGAAGGUGCGAUGACUUUAGAGGCCACACCUCACUAUGAUCUUGUUGCUAAUCAUGAACCAAAUCAGAGCGAUGUUGAGAUGCAAAUUUGCUCAUACCUGCCUUCGGCAACACAUCUGUCGGGACCUAGGUGA